GACGAACGCUGGCGGCGUGCUUAACGCAUGCAAGUCGAACGAGGUCCAUCAGCUUGCUGGUGAAGACCGAGUGGCGAACGGGUGAGUAACACGUGAGGAACCCACCCCGGAGACCGGGAUAACCCUCCGAAAGGAGAGCUAAUACCGGAUGCCCUCAUCGGAUCGCAUGUUCUGAUGAGGAAAUGGAUUCCGCUCCGGGACGGCCUCGCGGCCUAUCGGCUUGUUGGUGGGGGAACGGCCAACCAAAGCGUCGACGGGUAGCUGGUCUGAGAGGACGGUCAGCCACACUGGGACUGAGACACGGCCCAGACUCCGACGGGAGGCAGCAGCGGGGAAUAUUGCGCAAUGGGCGAAAGCCUGACGCAGCAACGCCGCGUGAGGGAUGAAGGCUUUCGGGUUGUAAACCUCUUUCAGCAGGGACGAUUGUGACGGUACCUGCAGAAGAAGCCCCGGCCAACUACGUGCCAGCAGCCGCCGUAAUAC
rnacentral:rRNA from 1 species